rnacentral:rRNA from 1 species
GACGAACGCUGGCGGCGUGCUUAACACAUGCAAGUCGAACGGAAAGGCCCUGCUUUUGUGGGGUGCUCGAGUGGCGAACGGGUGAGUAACACGUGAGUAACCUGCCCUUGACUUUGGGAUAACUUCAGGAAACUGGGGCUAAUACCGGAUAGGAGCUCCUGCUGCCUGGGGGGGGUUGGAAAGUUUCGGCGGUUGGGGAUGGACUCGCGGCUUAUCAGCCGGUUGGUGGGGUAGUGGCUUACCAAGGCUUUGACGGGUAGCCGGCCUGAGAGGGUGACCGGCCACCUUGGGACUGAGGUACGGCCCAGCAUCCUACGGGAGGCAGCAGUGGGGAAUAUUGCACAACGGGCGGAAGCCUGAUGCAGCAGCGCCGCGUGCGGGAUGACGGCCUUCGGGUUGUAGACCGCUUUCGCCUGUGACGAAGCGGGAGUGACGGUAAUUGGUAAAUAAGCACCGGCUAACUACGUG